UUUAACUUCAAACAAACACAUGCAGUUAGUGGCUACUGCUUUGAAUAGUUUAGGUCUACAAGAUCUCCAAUAGCCCAGAACAGCCCCAGAAAUCUCUGUAUACCUACAUCCCAUGAAUCUAAUAAAGGCUUGGACAAGAAGUAAAUCAGUUAUUGUUAUUAAUAAUAGCCUCCAAUUAUUAAAUUAAAGAUUGGGCAUCAAUUCAAAUGACUAACAUCAAGGACAAGAAAAGCACUGUAUAAAAAGUCUGAAACAAAACUAGUUUGCAUUUUGCAAUUUAGUAGUAUGACAUCUCUUCAAUAUUUGGUCAAACCUCAAUUUUGAAGUGUUGAGAAUGGGACUAAAGAGCUUCGAGUUAAAAAAAAGACUUGCAAUGCUCCCAUCUUUGGCAGAUGUGGAAUUUCUACCAUUCAAUUUGCAUACAGAUUCUCUUAUUAAGACAGAUGCAACUAAAAUUAAGUUUCUGUUUGACUGAGAAGACAACUGAUUUCUCCUAUCACUGACCUGAAAUGCUCCUGGAAAAUUGCUUUGCUUCAUUCAUCACACUGCCACUCCCAGCAAGGCCCUUAAAGUUCAUGAGGCACAAACUUGCUUUGUUAGCCAAGCUGUUACACAAGAAACCUAAGUCCUCAUUUCCACGUGCUGACAAAUCAUUUCCCAAGUCCAUUAAUGCGUUCAAAACUUGAUUCCUGGAACUUCUGAAGUAGAAAAUUAGGGGAGAAAACACUCAUUCAACUUUAGAGGAAGCCGCCAGUCAGUGCCUUGGACAACACUCAUCAAAGGCUAUUUGUUUUCCCCACCUAUCUGGGACAGAAUACUUCUCAUUUAACUAAGCAACAAAUUAAAAGCACACAGUGGGGUGCAUAUCACUACACAUAUGUCCGGCUAAUGAUGCAUGACAAGACUCACACUACCUCCCCCCUAAAAGCUUUACCUCCAGAAUUUCCUAUUUUAAAACAAUACUGGACUAAAAUGUAACAUUCCUGAAGUAAGGAAAAUCACUUCAUGUAAAAGCAGAGUUUGAACUAUGGAACACAAGUCAGUGGAUGCAACCUGCUUGUAUGGUAAGGCUUCAUUUAUAAGGUCCAAGUCAAACUAUCUACAAAGAGUCUUGAAUUGGUACAUCCAUAUAGUGAAAUCCUAUGAAGCAUUUGGAAAACAGUGAAGCAGAUCUAUGUAUACUGCUGUGGAAAGAUAUCCAAGACAUGUUGUGGGGUCAAAGAUAAGUCACAAAACAGUAUGUAUAUUAUGAUUGCAUCUGUGUAUGGUAAUGUAUAUAAACUUUACUAUGUACAGAAAAUGUCUGGAAGCAUCCAUGGAGAAACUGUUCGUGGCAGUUACCGCUCAUAAAUUCAGCAGAUAAGGAUUUUACUUUUCACUUUAUAUCCUUUCAUGUUAUUUUAAAAUAUUCUUAAAAUCAAGAGCUUGUAUUAUUUGUAUAAGUUUAACAUAUUCCUUUAAAAGCACAGAGAGAUCUUUACAGUGGUUUCCUCCAGAAACCACUUAUUUACCAUUACAGUGUUUGAUAAUUGAAAUGAAAAAGUUAAAACUGUUCCUUUUGUAGUUAACAUCAUUGUAAUGUUCCUACGAUAGCUUUUAUUAAUGAAUUUCCAUGGGGGACAGAAGAGAAAAACGCACACAACGGUAUUACAAAACAGAAAAAAAAUAAGGCACUUGCUAGGACAAGGCAAUCCACAAGUGCCAACCAGCUCCAGGGCCAUAAAGAUCUCAGGAGAGCCAUCACAUUUCAAUUACCAUCACUAACAUUACUUAUUAUUUGGCCUGCUCCAGUCCCUAAGGAAGGCAGCUUGUGAUGAUAAUACCCAGCCUCUUCUUGUAAAACAAUUCAUUAGGCAAAGCAGAACAGCUGGGGCAGCCACGUGCGGGUUCUUAAAGCACCGCCCCACUGGGACCUCUGGCCCAGAUUUCCCUUUUCGUGACGGACAGUCACCACCCCUCUGACAGCUGUAGAGUCCUCCGGGGACACUUCAGGUUUAAUCAGUACUUCCUGCACUGGAGAGGGUCAUUUGAUUUCUAACAUAAACUAAUGGCAAUCCUGCUUACAGCAGGUUACACCAGACAUCAGAUAAGAGGCUUUAGGGCAUUUUUAUCUUGUUCUAAUGCUCGAGAGUUAAUGAGGCAGCAAAAGAUAUUGUCAUAGAGCCCCGGUGUAGCUAUAUUAUCCAAUAAACAGACUCUUUCCAAGACAGGUUUAAUAUGGAUCGAGGAGGUAAAGAAGGCUAGCUUAAUAUUGAUCCUACUGAGAGGAUGAGAAUCCAGUCACCAUAACUAGGGCAAAAUCAUGCACAUUCUGCAGUAGACAAAGUGCUACAAGAAGCAUUAAGAAAGCCUUGAAGACAGAUCUGAUCUGACAAAAUGGACACUGUCUCCACUGUUAAUUUGCAUUUUUCAAGAGCUCCAUAGCUGCAUGUUGAUGAUUCUGUCAUGCACAAAAGGU